rnacentral:rRNA from 1 species
GAUGAACGCUGGCGGCGUGCCUAAUACAUGCAAGUCGAGCGAACAGACGAGGAGCUUGCUCCUCUGACGUUAGCGGCGGACGGGUGAGUAACACGUGGAUAACCUACCUAUAAGACUGGGAUAACUUCGGGAAACCGGAGCUAAUACCGGAUAAUAUAUUGAACCGCAUGGUUCAAUAGUGAAAGACGGUUUUGCUGUCACUUAUAGAUGGAUCCGCGCCGCAUUAGCUAGUUGGUAAGGUAACGGCUUACCAAGGCAACGAUGCGUAGCCGACCUGAGAGGGUGAUCGGCCACACUGGAACUGAGACACGGUCCAGACUCCUGCGGGAGGCAGCAGUAGGGAAUCUUCCGCAAUGGGCGAAAGCCUGACGGAGCAACGCCGCGUGAGUGAUGAAGGUCUUCGGAUCGUAAAACUCUGUUAUUAGGGAAGAACAAAUGUGUAAGUAACUAUGCACGUCUUGACGGUACCUAAUCAGAAAGCCACGGCUAACUACGU